GAUGAACGCUGGCGGCGUGCCUAAUACAUGCAAGUCGAGCGACCGGACGAGAAGCUUGCUUCUCUGAUGUUAGCGGCGGACGGGUGAGUAACACGUGGAUAACCUACCUAUAAGACUGGGAUAACUUCGGGAAACCGGAGCUAAUACCGGAUAAUAUUUUGAACCGCAUGGUUCAAAAGUGAAAGACGGUCUUGCUGUAACUUAUAGAUGGAUCCGCGCUGCAUUAGCUAGUUGGUAAGGUAACGGCUUACCAAGGCAACGAUGCAUAGCCGACCUGAGAGGGUGAUCGGCCACACUGGAACUGAGACACGGUCCAGACUCCUACGGGAGGCAGCAGUAGGGAAUCUUCCGCAAUGGGCGAAAGCCUGACGGAGCAACGCCGCGUGAGUGAUGAAGGUCUUCGGAUCGUAAAACUCUGUUAUUAGGGAAGAACAUAUGUGUAAGUAACUGUGCACAUCUUGACGGUACCUAAUCAGAAAGCCACGGCUAACUACGUG
rnacentral:rRNA from 1 species